ACGCUCGACACCUACGGGAGGCGGCAGUGGGGGAUAUUGCACAAUGGGGGAAACCCUGAUGCAGCAACGCCGCGUGAGGGAAGAAGGUUUUCGGAUUGUAAACCUCUGUCCCCGGGGAAGAUAAUGACGGUACCCGGGGAGGAAGCUCCGGCUAACUACGUGCCAGUAGCCGCGGUAAUCUGAGCGGGCUGGCAAGGC
rnacentral:rRNA from 1 species